GAACUUAUAAAUAUUAGUUUUCAUUUUUUUUUAGCUGAAAUGCUGUGGAUACAAAGGCUAUGAUGACUUCACAAGUUCAGCUUUUGUGAAGAAAACAUCAAACUAUCCCACACAAUGCUGCAGUAAUGAUCCAAAUCCAAUAUGUGGAAAAGACAAAGCUAAGGGAGAGAACAUGAGGGGCUGCAUUCAUGUGCUGUUUGACGAAAAUAUACCCAUAUCUGGAGCUUUGUCAUUUCUGAUCGGCAUUAUAGAGAUUGUUGCCUUAAUUGUUUCACUGAAAGUCUACCAAUGCUUGAGACGCUUGCCUGAUCUCCCAGACCCUUGUGAAAAUAAUCUGUGAUAAACGACUAUUGAUUUCUUUUUUUCUGUAUCUUUCAAAGUUCUUUGUGCUUUAUUAUUGCAUUUGACAAAAUAUUCAGAAUUUUUCUAUGAACAGUGAUGUGUGAAGACAAAGAAAGUAAAAUUAUUAUUAAAAUAUAUAAUUUACUAGUAUCUAUAGAAGUUUAACACUUUCAUGUUUCAGUGUCUAACAAAAAAUAUAUAAAAAUUUGCAUAGUGGCUCCUAAUUUCAUUCAAUAAAACUUAUGCUUAUUUUUAAAUAA